rfam:Cuculus canorus isolate BGI_N303 unplaced genomic scaffold scaffold98, whole genome shotgun sequence.
AUAUAUACCUGGCAGGGGAGACACCAUGAUCAGGCAGGUGGUUUUCCCAGGGCGAGGCUCAUCCCUUGCACUCCAGCUGUGCUGACCCCUGCGAUUUCCCCAAAUGUGGGAACUCUAACUCAUCAUUUGUGGUAGUGGGAGACUACGUUCACGACUUUUA